UAGCACGCCGGACGAAAUGCUUAGCCACUUUUUGUCCGGCUUUACGUUCUGAGUUCAAAUUCCACCGAGGUCGACUUUGCCUUUCAUCCUUUCGGGGUCGAUAAAUUAAGUACCAGUUGCGUACUGGGGUCCAUCAAAUCGACUGGUCCCCGUCUCCAAAUAUUGUGGGCCUUGUGCCUAGAGUAGAAAAGGAAUGGGUUAACCUAUUCAUGCCGAUCGUCCGUG